rnacentral:rRNA from 1 species
GUUAAAAAGCUCGUAGUUGGAUUUCUGGGAGGGUGCCAAUGUCCGCCGACGUGCGUGCGCAGCGGCGCCCUUCCAUCCUUCUGUUAACGCCUCUUGGCAUUCAUUUGCUGGUGGCGGGCUCAGAUAUUUUACCUUGAGAAAAUUAGAGUGUUUCAGGCAGGCUAGGCCGGAAUACAUUAGCAUGGAAUAAUGGAAUAGGACUACGGUCUCUUUGUUGGUUUGAGGGACUGCAGUAAUGAUUAAUAGGGAUAGUUGGGGGCAUUAGUAUUUAAUUGUCAGAGGUGGAAUUCUCGGAUUUGUUAAAGACUAACUUAUGCGAAAGCAUUUGCCAAGGAUGUUUUCAUUAAUCAAGAACGAAAGUUAGGGGAUCAAAGACGAUCAGAUACCGUCCUAGUCUUAACCAU